UUUUUUUUUUUUUUUUUUUUUUUUUUUUUUUGCUUUUUAGGGCUACAACCAUGGGGUAUAUGAAGGUUCCCAGGCUAGGGGUUGAAUCAGAGCUACAGCUGCCGGCCUACACCAUAGCUCAUAGCACCACCAGAUCCUUAACCCACUGAUCGAGGCCAGGGAUCGAACCUGCAAUCUCAUGGUCCCUAAUCGGAUUCAUUUCCGCUUUGCCAGGAUGGGAACUCCAGAAAGAAAAACAUCUUUGGAGGAGGAUUAAAAGGACUAAUUCCCAGAGUUCCUGUCGUGGCUCAGUGGUUAACGAAUCCGACAAGGAACCAUGAGUUUAUACCAAUAAUAAAGGAGGAGCUCCCACUGUGGGUGCAACAGGAUCAGUGGUAUCUCUGGAGUGCUGGGACACAGGUUUGAUUCACAGCCCGGCACAGUGGGUUAAAGAUCCAGCAUUGCCGCAGCUGUGGCUCAGAUUUGAUUCCUGGCCUGGGAACUCCAUGUGCUUCAGGGCAGCCAAAAAAGAAAAAUGAAUAAAUAAAAAUAAAGGGGAAGAGAGAGCUCAUCCUUAUACAGUAGAAUGUUAACAAUAAACAGAGGUAAUGAUGGAGUUAGAAAAUACCAAUUUAUGGGAGUUCCUAUUGUGGCUCAGUGGUAACAAAACCCAUUAGUAUCUAUGAGGAUGUGGGUUCAAUCCCUGGCCUCACUCACUGGGUUAAGUACCUGGCAUUGCUGCAAACUGUAGUGUAGGUCGCAGAUGUGGCUUGGAUCCUGUGUUGCUGUGGCUGUGUUGUAGGGCAACAGCGGUAGCUCUGAUUUGAUCCCUAGCCUGGGAACUUCCAUAUGCCGCGGGUGCAACCCUAAAAUGCACACACACACACACACAAAAUUAAAAAGAAAAUACCAUUUUGCAACCAACAGAAUGAAGACUGAUCCAGCUAUGGAUCAUCAAGGAAUGCUAAAUUUAGGGUAUGUGGGGAAUUUGAUGAUAAAUGGGAUGUUUAGCUCAUCUCAAAGUAUCUCUCCACAUACAAUUUAUUACAAAAGGAAAAAUGCUAACUGUACAAUGGAGAAAUCAGAAAAUAUCUUAUGCACAUGAACAAAAUUAACAGAACCAAAAUAGGACUAAGGGACAUCUUGCAUCUCUAGGUAUGUAUUCCCAGAAAGAAACGUUAUCACGUGUAUAAUUUCGGCCUAAACUACAUAAACUAGAUGAGAUACCCAGAUUGAGGGGCAUUUAAUAAAAUAUCUGGUCCAGAGUUCCUGUCAUGGUGCAGUGGAAAAGAAUCCAACUAGGAAACAUGAAGUUGAGGGUUUGAUCCCUGGCCUCACUCAGUGGGUUAAGGAUUCAGCAUUGCUGUGAGCCGUGCUGUAGGCUGGCAGCUGUGGCUCUGAUUUGACCCCUAGCCUGGGAAUCUCCAUAUGCCACGCUUGUGACCCUAAAAAAAAAAAACAAAACUGGUUUGUAUGCUUCAAAAAUGUCAAUGGCAUGAAAAACAAAGAAAAGCUGACAAAAUUGUUCCAGAUUAAGGGAAAUUAUACAAUAAGCAAUCCUAGACUGGAUCCUGUAUUGGAAAAAAAUUGUCAUAAAGGACAGGACUGGGACACCUGAUAAAACUGGAAUAUAGAUUUUAAAUUUGACCAAAGUAUUACACCCAGUAUUAAAUUUUCUGGAGUUAAUAACCAUGUUUUAGAUAUGUAAGAGACUAUUCUUGUUCUUAGGAAAUACACAGUGAAAUACUACAAGGAAAGGAGUAUGAUGCAUGCAACCUACUAUUAAAGAGCUCAGAAUAUUAUAUGAACAUUCAUCUAUACUAUAGCGUAGUGGAUGGAUAGAAGGAUGGAUGGAUAAUCAAUAGGUACAUAUACUCAGUGAAACAUAUAUAAGGUAACAGAUAUGUUUAAAAGAGAUUUAGUUUAUCAAUUUAACUUUUAUUAUUAUUUCUCAAUAUUACGAUUUGUACACCUUUAUCAUUUUUGGCUUGGUAUGAUUCUCUUAUCUUUAUAAAUAAACUGCUCUUCUUGUCUUGACUCUCCUCUUUAUUCUCAGAAUUCAGACAAUUCAUCUACCUGUGACUGUCUUAGUUUGUGUCUCUUUUUUUCUAACUUGGUAAAACCAUUUUGGUCUGAAAACCCAGGUCUUUCUUCGGCUCAGGAAAGUUUAUUUUCAAUUAUCUCAAUUUUUACAUUUUCAUAAUUCUAUUUUCACAUUAUAGAAAAGAGACUACAAUUCACAGAUUUAUUUUUCCUUUGAUCUUUCUUAUCAAUCUCUUACCUUUCAAUUUUAUUUUCCAUUUUUUUCUCUUUCUGUUUUUUAAAAGUCUUUCCAAUUCCUACUUGGGUUUUUGGCACUGUCCAUACAGGUUACGUUUUAUUAAUUUCUUUACAUUUUAUAUAUCAUGAUUUUUGUCCUUUGAAGUCCUUUAUGUGUUCCCAACACCAACAUUCCCCUGCAGUAUCUUCUUUUAUCCACUUAUUGUUUCAUUUUUGUUGUUAUUUUAAUCUUUUGUUUCUUCCACGACAGCAGUCUCUGUGGAGCCACCUGUUAUGGUUUAUUGAACUUGACCUCCCUCUUUCAAGAUGCUGUAUGUUCUUUUUUUUUUUUUUUUUUUUUUUUUUUUUUGCCACAGCAGUGACAAUACUGGAUCCUUAACCCCCCAACCACCAGGGAACUCCAUGGGUGCUGGAUGUUCUUGAGUACUUCGUGCUCUCUUUCAGUUCGGGGUUGGGAGAUUGGCAGGCAGUGAGAGGUAAGGGAGUGAACGUCCUGGGCUCUCAGGUUUCUCAAAGUAUGAGAAAGAUCAGUUCUCUCCCCUCAGCCUGGAAGAGGAGCAAUUCAGACCAAUCAGUACUGUUGUCCACUGUUAUCAGGCUGUCUCAGGGAUGGGCAGGCCCAGCUC
rnacentral:lncRNA from 1 species